rnacentral:rRNA from 1 species
AUCCUCCAAGGCUAAAUACUCCUGACUGACCGAUAGUGAACCAGUACCGUGAGGGAAAGGCGAAAAGAACCCCUGUGAGGGGAGUGAAAUAGAACCUGAAACCGUGUACGUACAAGCAGUAGGAGCCCACUUGUUGGGUGACUGCGUACCUUUUGUAUAAUGGGUCAGCGACUUAAUUUUAGUAGCAAGGUUAACCGUUUAGGGGAGCCGUAGGGAAACCGAGUCUUAACUGGGCGAAAUAGUUGCUAGGAUUAGACCCGAAACCGAGUGAUCUAGCCAUGGGCAGGUUGAAGGUGAGGUAACACUUACUGGAGGACCGAACCGACUAAUGUUGAAAAAUUAGCGGAUGACUUGUGGCUAGGGGUGAAAGGCCAAUCAAACUCGGAGAUAGCUGGUUCUCCCCGAAAGCUAUUUAGGUAGCGCCUCGGACGAAUACUACUGGGGGUAGAGCACUGUUAAGGCUAGGGGGUCAUCCCGACUUACCAACCCUUUGCAAACUCCGAAUACCAGUAAGUACUAUCCGGGAGACACACGGCGGGUGCUAACGUCCGUCGUGAAGAGGGAAACAACCCAGACCGCCAGCUAAGGUCCCAAAGUUAUAGCUAAGUGGGAAACGAUGUGGGAAGGCUCAGACAGCCAGGAUGUUGGCUUAGAAGCAGCCAUCAUUUAAAGAAAGCGUAAUAGCUCACUGGUCGAGUCGGCCUGCGCGGAAGAUUUAACGGGGCUAAGCUAUACACCGAAGCUGCGGCAAUG